GAGUUUGAUCGUGGCUCAGAUUGAACGCUGGCGGCAGGCCUAACACAUGCAAGUCGAACGGUAACAGGAAGAAGCUUGCUUCUUUGCUGACGAGUGGCGGACGGGUGAGUAAUGUCUGGGAAACUGCCUGAUGGAGGGGGAUAACUACUGGAAACGGUAGCUAAUACCGCAUAACGUCGCAAGACCAAAGAGGGGGACCUUCGGGCCUCUUGCCAUCGGAUGUGCCCAGAUGGGAUUAGCUAGUAGGUGGGGUAACGGCUCACCUAGGCGACGAUCCCUAGCUGGUCUGAGAGGAUGACCAGCCACACUGGAACUGAGACACGGUCCAGACUCCUACGGGAGGCAGCAGUGGGAAUAUUGCACAAUGGGCGCAAGCCUGAUGCAGCCAUGCCGCGUGUAUGAAGAAGGCCUU
rnacentral:rRNA from 1 species